AUGCUUGCUUCAAAAGCACAUAGUCUAAAAUUGGAACAACAGAGAGAAGAUUAGCAUGGCCCUGCCCAGGAGGGCUUCACAGAUUCAUGAAGCAGUCCGUAUUUUU